UACGUAGGUGGCAAGCGUUGUCCGGAUUUACUGGGCGUAAAGAGCGCGCAGGCGGUCGUCCAAGUCGCGUGUGAAAGCCCCCGGCUCAACUGGGGAGGGUCACGCGAUACUGAUCGACUCGAAGGCAGGAGAGGGUAGUGGAAUUCCCGGUGUAGUGGUGAAAUGCGUAGAUAUCAGGAGGAACACCAGUGGCGAAGGCGGCUUCCUGGACACCAACUGACGCUGAGACGCGAAAGCGUGGGGAGCAAACAGG
rnacentral:rRNA from 1 species